rnacentral:ncRNA from 1 species
UAAAAUUCGAUGAAGAGAAAAAGUAAGCUAUUUUUUUGUUCUACAGAGAGUUGGUACCUAUGCUGAAAGCCAAUGUUCAAAAAAUAGUCGAAAAUCCUCUCUGAGAAACAGUACUGAAAUUUCAAGUAAGUACUGUAGGGAUUCCGCCUUUAAAAGGAACGCGUAUUAUUAUGUACGUUGAAAGGUGUUGCAAAUGAAUAAGUAAAGUUCAUUUGUAAAACUAGGGUGGUAACGCGGGUAAUAACUCGUCCCUUAU